UUAUUCUUCUGACAAUUCCGUACUUAUUCUGAAAUUCAAUACAGAAUUUUUCAGUUUUAACCAGCAAUGUUGGCUAAUGUGUAACAAACCACUACAUCAAAAAUAGCAGAAGGAUUGAUCAUGCUCAUCCUUUUUGCCUGUGCCAGAAGUAAUCAGUGUAGCCUAAUAUUACAGUAAUGGUUAACAAGGAAAUCCAUCAUCCAAUAAUGAACCAAAUGCCUAGCUGUUAGCUGUUGAUGUAUAAGUGGCAGUUUUCCUUUUCACAAUCAGUUUCCCAAAGAGUUCUGUGAAAUAUUUGCACAGUCAGCACAAUCAGGGAAAAAUCCAUUUUUGUUAGAUUCCUGCAAAUGAAACAUUACUCAUUUUUUCAGGUUAAAAUACCUUUCCCAUCCUCAGAUUCAUUCCCUCAUUCAACAGAAGCACAAUGUAUCCUAGUCUCUGAGAAAAUACACCAAACUCCUCUGUAAAAUCUCACAUAAAAAUGUCUUUUGGUCCUAGAAUGCCCUGUCUUUCUGGGAGACCCCCAACACCACAAUCUACUAGUGAGGGUGUCCUGAUGUGGUUUUCCAGCCAAAGCUCUAUCGCAGAUACAGAUGUGUCCAAUGAGCUACAUUUCACAGAAGACAUUGAGUGGCUAAAAUGACAGCUUAUUAAGGCUUCACAAAACACCAGGAGUUGUUGGGAAGCAGGGCCGGCUUCAGGGUUUUGGCCGCCCCAAGCAGCCAAACAAAAUAAAAAAAAAGCCGCGAUCGCAAUCUGCGGCGGCAAUUCAGCGGAAGGUCCUUCGCUCCGAGCGGGAGUGAGGGACCAUCCGCCGAAUUGCUGCCAAAGCUGGACGCGCCGCCCCUCUUGGAAGUGGCCGCCCCAAGCACCUGCUUGGUAAGCUGGUGCCUGGAGCCGGCCCUGUUGGGAAGGUAUCUUCAUUCCAACGAAAUAGCAAUUUGCUAACGAUGACUUUGAAACACAUUUGUAAGUGUUGUAAUUUUCUUGUUUAAAAUUCCAUCUAAAUGCCAGACCAUAUUAUUUCAAACAGAUCAGAAUGAUAAAAAUGACACGACUCAUGCAAACUGGAGCAGAAGUUCAUAAUUUUGAUGGCUCCCGAGAAAAUAUAGAAAUUCCAAACAGAGAACUAAAGAAUCAAUCAAACAAUAUAUUCUGUAAUAAGAGAUUUCAGUGCCAGUAAAUAUGAUUUUCAUUCUGUUUAUAUUGCCAGGUUGCACAGGAAAGCUAGUAUAAAAAUAGAAUAAUACUUGCAAUUUCUCCACCUUCUGACCUACAGGAUCUAGGUAUGGAAAAACUGUAAUCUAUACAUUCACCGCCAAUAGACUGUUAAAAGCAAUUGGUAGAUUAUUUUAAUAGCUACUCCAAAUCUUUCCUUCAUUGUAUUCCUUUCCAUCCUUCUUCUUUAGCCUGCUAUAUAGUUAAAGAAAAUGGCCACUGGUGGUGGUGUUACUGGUAAAGAAGGGACAUCGUGCAAGCUUCCUGAUAAGCCGGCAUCCCUUCCUCUACUUCCUCCCACCAUAGAGUACAAUAUAGCAUUACAGAUGGAAGAUAAUGUUCUCCACCAGUUCUGUUGUCCACCUUCUGGGUCUAGUAGUCCAUCCUCAAGAUAACAGAGAAGCUCUGGGUCGCUAAGUGGGCAGUCAGAGGGCCACAUCUGUAUAUUCCAUCUCCCUCCUCUUCUUUCUCUUGCUGGUGUGUAUGGGACUGACAUAACUUGCAUGGAGACACUAAAGAUUCUGGUUUACAUCGAAUUUAAAUUUACUCAGAAUGCCUGGUAACUUCCACUCUGCACUUUCUUCUCCAAGCUUUCACGGCUCACUCUUUCUGUGCCAAGUGAUUAAAAUGCAUAUGGAGUGUAAACAAAAAUGUAAAAUGCACAAUAUAUUUUGAAACAAAAUAAACAGUGCCAUAAAUC